AUCCAUACGACUUCAAGGAGGACCUGGAGUACACCUUCUCCUCCUCCAAGAGACUCAGGGGCCAGGGAAGGGAACCAAGCAGGAGGGACAAGGGUGAGGACAUCACAACCAACAGCGCCCACCUGGACGUGAACGACGCCAUGUCAAUUUUCAGCUCUGCCCCCAAAUCAGUUGAAACGGGCCAAGAUGAAGGAUCCGCCAAAACAAACCCUUCCCUGACC